GAUGAACGCUGGCGGCGUGCUUAACACAUGCAAGUCGAACGGGAAACCUUUUAUUGAAGCUUCGGCAGAUUUAGAUUGUUUCUAGUGGCGGACGGGUGAGUAACGCGUGGGUAACCCGCCUUGUACAGGGGGAUAACAGUCAGAAAUGACUGCUAAUACCGCAUAAGCGCACAGAGCUGCAUGGCUCGGUGUGAAAAACUCCGGUGGUAUAAGAUGGACCCGCGUUGGAUUAGCUAGUUGGUGAGGUAACGGCCCACCAAGGCGACGAUCCAUAGCCGGCCUGAGAGGGUGAACGGCCACAUUGGGACUGAGACACGGCCCAGACUCCUACGGGAGGCAGCAGUGGGGAAUAUUGCACAAUGGGGGAAACCCUGAUGCAGCGACGCCGCGUGAAGGAAGAAGUAUCUCGGUAUGUAAACUUCUAU
rnacentral:rRNA from 1 species